GCGGGUGUAGCUCAGUUGGUAGAGCAUCACGUUGCCAACGUGAUUGUCGAGGGUUCGAGUCCCUUCACCCGCU
rnacentral:tRNA from 1 species